rnacentral:rRNA from 1 species
AGAGUUUGAUCAUGGCUCAGAGUGAACGCUGGCGGCAGGCCUAAUACAUGCAAGUCGAACGGCAGCACAGCAGAGCUUGCUCUGUGGGUGGCGAGUGGCGGACGGGUGAGGAAUACGUGGGAAUCUGCCCAGUCGUGGGGAUAACGUAGGGAAACUUACGCUAAUACCGCAUGCGCCCUUCGGGGGAAAGCCGGGGACCUUCGGGCCUGGCGCGAUUGGAUGAGCCCACGUCGGAUUAGCUAGUUGGCGGGGUAAAGGCCCACCAAGGCGACGAUCCGUAGCUGGUCUGAGAGGAUGAUCAGCCACACUGGAACUGAGACACGGUCCAGACUCCUACGGGAGGCAGCAGUAGGGAAUAUUGGACAAUGGGCGCAAGCCUGAUCCAGCCAUGCCGCGUGAGUGAAGAAAGCCCUCGGGUUGUAAAGCUCUUUUGUCCGGAAAGAAAAGCGCCGGGUUAAUACCCUGGUGUCCUGACGGUACCGGAAGAAUAAGCACCGGCUAACUUCGUG